UUAUAUCACAUUGAAAUACUGGUUUCCAUAGGAUCACCGAAGUUAAGCAACGCUGAGCCUGGUCAGCAUCUAGAUGGGUGACGGCUUGGGAAUACCAGGUGCUGUAAG